rnacentral:rRNA from 1 species
GACGAACGCUGGCGGCGUGCUUAACACAUGCAAGUCGAACGGAAAGGCCUGCUUUCCCUUGUGGAUUGCGGGUACUCGAGUGGCGAACGGGUGAGUAACACGUGAGUGAUCUGCCCCCAACUUGGGUAUAAGCCUGGGAAACUGGGUCUAAUUCCCGAUAGGACUGCAGGGUGGUGCCCGUGGUGGAAAACGAUUUUCUAGUGGUUGGGGAUGAGCUCGCGGCCUAUCAGCUUGUGGGUGGGGUAAUGGCCUACCAAGGCGGCGACGGGUAGCCGGCCUGAGAGGAUGGACGGACACAGUGAGACUGGGAUACGGCCCAGACGCCUACGGGAGGCAGCGGUGGGGAAUAAUGGACAAUGGGCGGGAGCCUGAAGCAGCGACGCCGCGUGGGAGAUGACGGCCUUCGGGUUGUAAACUCCUUUCGACCGCGAGGAAGCCACCUGGUUGGAAGGGGGGUGACGGUAGUGGUAGAAGAAGCACCGGCUAACUACGUG